AAUGAAGAAAUAUUGGCUUCUGGCACUUUUGGAUCGCCUCACCUCUCCGAGACCGCAGCUCAAGACAAUGAAGUAAUGUUGGCUGCUGGAACUUGUGGAUCGCCUCACCUCUCUGAGACCGCAGCUCAAGAUGACCUGUGGAACUCUGUCUGUGUGACUUCUAGUUCACCUCAUCUCCCUGACUCAGUCACUCAAGGUUUCCGUGUUUCAUCAAGACGGUGUGUGAAGAGACCAUGGUCCAAGGAGGAGAUACAAGCUGUGAUGAAACAUAUGAGGCCUUUUAUUGAAAACGGUGUCACUCACCAGUGAGCAGUGCCUGAAGUGCAAGGAAAAGGAACACCCUGUGUUGGAGACAAGAUCCAUUCAAAACAUUCGAUAUUUUGUACGCAACAGAGGCUUGACUUUUAAAAGGCAUUCAAAGGCUAAACACUAAAUGCACUUUUGGCUAGCCUGAGACUUGGGUCUAAUAUUUUAUAAGUUUAUGUCUUGUUCUCAGAAAUUUAGGUCACUUAAUUUAUAUUGCUCCCAGGCAGAUGUUUGUUUGUUUGUUUGUUUUGCUUUGUGGUUAGCCUGGACCUUUUAAUGUAAGGAUUCAUUUUAUUUUGCUUUAUUUAUUUCUACAAUGCUGUCCUUUGCUAAGGAACAGAAUCUUGAGGUGACCAAAUACAGUUCAGUGAUACAGCAAAUAUUGUGUGGUGUGUUAAUAAUGACAAACCUACAAAAAAAGGCUCUCUUCUCAGGUUAUGUGUGAUUCUGUGCAAUGGGCAAUGGCAGACUCUGGACACGCCAGUUGCAGUGGGGAUGUGAAGCAUGAUUGCAGGUUGGCAGUUGGUUCAGGACAUGGAAACCUCCAUAAUACUAGUGAGGAAGGAUACAAAGAUAAGUGCUGGUGGGGUUGUGUAGCUUGACCGUAUUUGAUUGGAGGUGCUGAUGUUUUCUAGAUGAAGAAGUGUAGAAUGGCGUGAUUGUGCACCUUAUGUACAUUAUCUGCAAAUUAUAUCCCGAUGUGAUGAGUUAUUUACACUUACUGUAGUUCAGCUUAUGUGCCAAAUUGUAAUGUACAACUGUAGGUCAACAAAGAAAACAAAAUUACCUCUUAAUAUAUAUUCAAUAUUAUUAUAAUGGUGUGCCUUAGUCACUUUGGCCUAGUAAUCCAUGUGUCCUCUCAAAGCAGGUUAUACUCGGUGUAUGUGUGUGACCUGGCCUUACAGACCUUGUGUCCUUUCAAAGCAGGUUAUACUCAGUGUAUGUGUAUGAUGACAUCACUGACCUUGUACACCACACUGUCCUUAUAGACCCUGUUUUAGAAAAGUCUUUACAAACCACUAAAAAGUCUGAAAAACGGCUUUUUUUUAUAUCUCAGGUUUGGCAAGGAAAUCUUUUAAUUUUAAACGUUGUAUAGGUUCCCUGAUUUUUUUCAUGACGUUUGAUAUGUGUUUUGUAGCUCUAGCACCACGGGAACCCUGUGUCCCUGUAUCCCUGUGUUAAGUCUGAUUUACGAAAAUUUUCGUAAAUUGUC